rnacentral:rRNA from 1 species
AUUGAACGCUGGCGGCAGGCCUAACACAUGCAAGUCGAACGAGUGGCGGACGGGUGAGUAAUGUCUGGGAAUCUGGCUGAUGGAGGGGGAUCACUACGGGAAACUGUAGCUAAUACCGCCUACAAUAGGAUGUGCCCAAGUGGGAUUAGGUAGUUGGUGAGGUAAAGGCUCACCAAGGCGACGAUCCCUAGCUGGUCUGAGAGGAUGACCAGCCACACUGGAACUGAGACACGGCCCAGACUCCUACGGGAGGCAGCAGUGGGGAAUAUUGCACAAUGGGCGCAACCCUGAUGCAGCCAUGCCGCGUGUAUGAAGAAGGCCUUCGGGUUGUAAAGUUCUUUCAGUGGCGAGGCGUUAACUACAGAAGAAGCACCGGCUAACUCCGUGCCAGCAGCCGCGGUAAUUC